AAGAAGUUAGCGGCGGACGGGUGAGUAACACGUGGGUAACCUGCCCAUAAGACUGGGAUAACUCCGGGAAACCGGGGCUAAUACCGGAUAACAUUUUGAACUGCAUGGUUCGAAAUUGAAAGGCGGCUUCGGCUGUCACUUAUGGAUGGACCCGCGUCGCAUUAGCUAGUUGGUGAGGUAACGGCUCACCAAGGCAACCAUGCCGUACCCAACCUGAGAGGGUGAUCGGCCACACUGGGACUGAGACACGGCCCAGACUCCUACGGGAGGCAGCAGUAGGGAAUCUUCCGCAAUGGACGAAAGUCUGACGGAGCAACGCCGCGUGAGUGAUGAAGGCUUUCGGGUCGUAAAACUCUGUUGUUAGGGAAGAACAAGUGCUAGUUGAAUAAGCUGGCACCUUGACGGUACCUAACCAGAAAGCCACGGCUAACUACGUGCCAGCAGCCGCGGUAAUACGUAAGUGGCAAGCGUUAUCCGGAAUUAUUGGGCGUAAAGCGCGCGCAAGUGGUUUCUUAAGUCUGAUGUGAAAGCCCACGGCUCAACCGUGGAGGGUCAUUGGAAACUGGGAGACUUGAGUGCAGAAGAGGAAAGUGGAAUUCCAUGUGUAGCGGUGAAAUGCGUAGAGAUAUGGAGGAACACCAGUGGCGAAAGCGACUUUCUGGUCUGUAACUGACACUGAGGGCGAAACGUGGGGAGCAAACAGGAUUAGAUACCCCUGGUAGUCCACCCCCGUAACGAUGAGUGCUGAGUGUUAGAUGGUUUCCGCCCCUCUCACUGCUGAAGAUAACCCAUUAUCUACUUCCGCCUGGGGAGUACCGCCCGCCAAGGCUGAANCUCC
rnacentral:rRNA from 1 species